CAAUAGCAUCUGAUAAGAUCCAAACCUCUGCUCCUUUUCAUUAUUUAGGGAUGCAGAUAGAAAAUAGAAAAAUUAAGCCACAAAAAAUAGAAAUAAGAAAAGAUACAUUAAAAACAUUAAAUGACUUUCAAAAAUUGUUAGGCUAUAUUAAUUGGAUUCGGCCAACUCUAGGCAUUCCUACUUAUGCCAUGUCAAAUUUGUUCUCUAUCCUAAGAGGAGAUCCAAACUUAAAUAGUAAAAGAAUAUUAACCCCAGAGGCAACAAAAUAAAUUAAAUUAGUGGAAGAAAAAAUUCAGUCAGCGCAAAUAAGUAGAAUAGAUCCCUUAGCCCCACUCCAACUUUUAAUUUUUGCUACUGCACAUUCUCCAACAGGCAUCAUUAUUCAAAAUACUGAUCUUGUGGAGUGGUCAUUUCUUCCUCACAGUACAAUUAAGACUUUUACAUUGGGCCGGGCGCGGUGGCUCAAGCCUGUAAUCCCAGAACUUUGGGG